AUUGAAGGCUUGCGUCAUGUAGACAAUGUUGUUGUCCUUACUUAGAAUUACUCAUGGGGGCGAGAGAAACUACGCAGUAUAGCUUUAACUAUGGAAAUUAAUUGAAUAUGGGUCACA